rnacentral:tRNA from 1 species
UAGACUUUAAGUUAUAUAAACCAAAACCUUCAAAGUUUUUAAAAAGAUCCCUUAAGUCUAA